UACGUAGGGUGCAAGCGUUAAUCGGAAUUACUGGGCGUAAAGCGUGCGCAGGCGGCUUUGCAAGACAGAUGUGAAAUCCCCGGGCUUAACCUGGGAACUGCAUUUGUGACUGCAUGGCUGGAGGCCAGUAGGGGGAUGCGGAAUUCCGGGUGUAGUGGUGGAAUGCGUAGAGAUCCGGAGGAACACCAGCGGCGAAGGCGGCAUCCUGGACUGGUACUGACGCUCAGGAGCGAAAGCGUGGGGAGCGAUCCGG
rnacentral:rRNA from 1 species